CUAGCUGUAAACGAUGGAUACUAGGCGUUGAGAGUAUCGACCCUCUCAGUGUCGUAGCUAACGCGUUAAGUAUCCCGCCUGGGGAGUACGCGCGCAAGCGUGAAACUCAAAGGAAUUGACGGGGGCCCGCACAAGCGGUGGAGUAUGUGGUUUAAUUCGAUGCAACGCGAAGAACCUUACCAGGGCUUGACAUGUCCGGAACCCUGCCCAAAGGCGGGGGUGCCUACGGGAACCGGAACACAGGUGAUGC
rnacentral:rRNA from 1 species